CUCCCCAGCCAUGUGGAACUUUAGGUCCAAUUAAACCUCUUUUUCCUUCCAGUCUCGGAUAAGUCUUUAUCAGCAAAGUGAACACAGACUAAUACACUCGACCACUACAUGGCAGUACUAUCCUUUUGAUAUGUGGACUGAGGGAAGAUACCAGUGUCGAUCAGUAUCUUAAAGACAUGAGAUGAUGAACCUCAAGUACCACCCCAGACAACAAGGCUGCUUCAUCAGGACACAAACCUGCCUGUACCAGGACCUCUGACCUGUGUGCAGCAGAAGGAGUGGGUCAACAUAGCUUCUGAAGAGCAUUCAUUGGAGUGAAUCUGCCAUUUAUUGGCUGUUCUUCAAACCAUAAGACUGAUAUUGAUGGUCAGCUUACAGAGGUAUGCUCUCUACAGGGUUACUUGGGAGCACCGGAGAACUUG
rnacentral:lncRNA from 1 species